GUCGUCAGCUCGUGUCGUGAGAUGUUGGUUAGUCCGCAACGAGCGCAACCCUAUUGUUAGUUGCCAUCAUUCAGUUGGGCACUCUAGCGAGACUGCCGGUAAUAAACCGGAGGAAGGUGGGGAUGACGUCAAAUCAUCAUGCCCCUUAUGACCUGGGCUACACACGUGCUACAAUGGUUGGUACAACGAGUUGCGAGUCGGUGACGGCGAGCUAAUCUCUUAAAGCCAAUCUCAGUUCGGAUUGUAGGCUGCAACUCGCCUACAUGAAGUCGGAAUCGCUAGUAAUCGCGGAUCAGCACGCCGCGGUGAAUACGUUCCCGGGCCUU
rnacentral:rRNA from 1 species